UGUCCUUAAAAAGUGUUUUAGAUCAGUUGAGAGGUAUUAAGAAAUAUAAGAGUCAAGUCUAAUAAAGAGAUGUAAAGCUUAGAAAAGUAGAUGACAUUGGAAGUCGACCUUAGAGAGAUAAGAGCUCAAGUUCCAGGCAUGAAACAAACUCUCAAGGAAAAAGAAGUGAGAACAUUGUGUCAUUAAGGAAUGAAGGAGUUCGUAGGCCCACGUUCCUACUGAUGUUCUCCAGAAAUGCAAAGUAAGACAUGAGUUGGCAGCUUCCUGGAAAGAUGAAAGAGGUUUUAGAAGACAGGCUGUGCACCUGGCCAGGUUCCAGAUGAGUGGUUCCCUCCUGAGAUGAGGCUGUAUCAGCCAGGAAGAGCCUAAAGGCAGUGAAAGGGCAUGGCAACAUCUUCAAAUCACUGGUACCUGGAACAGCCACCCAAUUGACCUCCUGAAUCUGGCUUUAGCAGAAGGAAGAACAUAGUUGUAAGACUGAAACAGUCUAGUGUCUGAACCAUUUUCUCAAUUUUUUAAAUAAAUAAUCGUCAUCCUUUGCUCAACUGAGUUUUCUUGGUCAUUGAACUAAGACUUAGACAGAUAAUUGUGAGAGAUGAGGAAGGCAGAAGAGGUAAACCAGGAAUAUCAGAAGAUGAAGGACCUGAUGAGCAAUGCUAUAAUAAAUGAAUUGAGAAGUUUAAGCUUGUACUUGAUCCAUUAAUGGGGGCAGGAAAUGGUAGCAGGCAUGGGAAUGGUUAAAGCAGAUUAGCAUCUUUGAAAUCUAUUUGGAUUACAAGCUUCAUUUUCAAUAUGCAGAUAAACCUGAGUAGUUAAGCCUUUGUCACUCAGAACUUGCUGUGAAUUAUUUUGAUCAGCUCAACACAGAGCAACUGGGGAGGACUGGGUUUUGAGGAGGUGGAGGUGGUCAUGCUCAAAAUAGAUUUUGUCUAGAGUCUGCUGUGCACAGUAUGUCACUCCUGAAAUGGCUCCCUUGUCAUCUUCAGCAAAUGCUGUAAAUUGUAUACAUUUAAGAGCUUAAGGCCAGUAUGCACAAUUUUGUCCCAGGAUAUGGCCCUAAAAGAACUAUCUAGGCUCUAUCUAGUCAAAGCUAUGGUUUUUCCAGCAGUCAUGUAUGGAUGUGAGAGUUGAACCAUA